rnacentral:snRNA from 1 species
GUGCUUGCUUCGGCAGCACAUAUACUAAAUCUGGAAUGAUACAGAGAUUAGCAUGGCCCCUGCGCAAGGAUGACACGCAAAUUUGUGAAGCGUUCCGUAUUUUA